CGGCCUCACAAACGCUCCCUUCCCCAGACCAUGGGGCCAGGGCUAAGCCCACAGGAAGGCUGGGCCAUGUCCCCCGCACCCAGGUCCCUGAGGGGCUGAGGCCUGGGCCCCCCAAGGCAGAGGCAAAGGGGCCACAGCUGGGUCCCUGCCUCCCUGGGACGGAGCCAGCAGGCUGGGGCAGGAGUCAGCUGGAGCUCUAAGCCACCCCGGUCCUCUUGAGCGCUGUGGCUGCGUCCUAGGCACUGGCGUCCCAACUGGAGAGAAUCUGGAGUCAGCGCAGGCCUCAGUCCUCCCUCCUCACUCCCAGCUGGCCACCAGCUCAAGAGAAGCUUCUGUAACCCCAAGAACUGUCGCCUGCCCAGAGCAGGUGAGGAAAUGCUCUGAGUCAGGGCGUUUCAGGCUAGCUGUGAGGGCACAAAGGAAGCUGUUUCUCCGAGCUUGGCACUGAGGAGUCAUAGCCAUGCUGGUAAAUGAGAGCCCAGGGCAGCAGUGGCAGGAGUUGAGUGUUUCCAAACCAUACUGCCGCAUGCCACACAACUAUGGACAAGCUGUGUCCACCUUCUGGGCCUCAAUUUCCCAUCUCUGAAGUCAAGCUGCUGUCAGCAAGGCGGGAGAGAACAGGGUGGGAACAUACCCCGACUUUGUGCCCACCCCAGCCGCAGUAUCCCACUGGACUUUAUUUCUCGGA
ensembl:lncRNA